AUGCCGCGGCUCCUCCUCUUUCUCCUCCUUUGCGUCUCGGUGUUGGCCGCUGCACCUGCACAGGCCUAUCAAGACAAGUGCGACAUCAAAGCCGCCGUCAGGAACGAUUCAGACACCGGCAAAAAUGAGGCGCCCGGGAUCGACGAUCUGUUCUAUGUUGUGGACAUCGACGAGCUCGAGCAGGCCACCGGCUUGGAAUUGGGUUUGUCUCAGGGUGAUGCUAUCGAAAUGGACCAACCUAUUCCUAGUACCAGCGCCGCCUUCCAAUCACCGGAUUUGAUCAACUGUCGGGCGAUCAACUGGACGAUUGAGGAGCGCCGUCGUGCUUGUCUGGCCCGCAUUGUCAGUCAUGUUUACUCCAGGGAGAAGAAAGCUAUCCCCCUAAGUCCCGACACAGGCUUCCGCCUCCACGGGGAGCCGCUCGAGGACGGCGACGACGUCUAUGCUGCCAUCUACGAGUACGUGGGCCAAGGCCGUGAGGACAAGUCCGCUCCACACUUGAUCGUCGCCUUCCGAGGCACCGACCUGUGCUGGAAACGGAGGGGGGUGAGGGACGUCUGGUUCGACUGCCUAAUUACUGUAGACGCCGUCAAGUACACUGGUCGCUUCAAGCUCGCCUACCAAAAGCUCGUCCACCUCAUGCUGGAUAAUCCAGGUCGCCCCGUUUGGCUCACCGGGCACUCUGCCGGCGCGUCCCUGGCGCUGCACGUGGGGACUCAUAUGGUGCUCAAGAAGGAGAUCAAGCUCCCGACUUUCGCCUUCAACCCACCGGUGGCCAUACUUGGCUGGUUUCCCGUUCCCAAGGGCGUAAAGAAGCUCAUUGGACCGCUGAUCCCAUCCAGGCGCAAGCAAUCGUUGAAGCUGUGCAGGUGGACUCCGGUGCUGUACGUGCACCAAAGAGACUUCUUCUUCUGCAGGAGGAUCAUUGAUUGCUUGAAGAAGCCGACCAAGUUGGACAAGUGGAUCAUCAACCUGCCGUCCCUGACCAUGUGUGAGAACUCCGCCAUUGUCCAAGCCGGGGGAGAGCAGUGUGGACUACACAGCAUUAAACAGUGGUUUAGUCCCAAUAGUGAGCUCAACAUGACCUGUCGAAAUAUCCAAGAAAAUCGGAAGCAUACUCCUGAGGCUCUCAGCCGGUUCAGCCUAGGCUAUGCUAGCAACGGCUUACAUGCUAUAUAUCAGGGCUAUGAAUUUCCUCUCUUCAGCUCAGAUGUACCACAAGCACCCUAA
rnacentral:rRNA from 1 species